rnacentral:rRNA from 1 species
AUUGAACGCUGGCGGCAUGCCUUACACAUGCAAGUCGAACGGCAGCACGGGAGCAAUCCUGGUGGCGAGUGGCGAACGGGUGAGUAAUAUAUCGGAACGUGCCCAGUAGUGGGGGAUAACUGCUCGAAAGAGCAGCUAAUACCGCAUACGACCUGAGGGUGAAAGCGGGGGAUCGCAAGACCUCGCGCUAUUGGAGCGGCCGAUAUCAGAUUAGCUAGUUGGUGGGGUAAAAGCUCACCAAGGCGACGAUCUGUAGCUGGUCUGAGAGGACGACCAGCCACACUGGGACUGAGACACGGCCCAGACUCCUACGGGAGGCAGCAGUGGGGAAUUUUGGACAAUGGGCGCAAGCCUGAUCCAGCCAUGCCGCGUGCGGGAAGAAGGGCCUUCGGGUUGUAAACGCUUUGUCAGGGAAGAAACGGCUCCUACUAAUACUGGGGCUAAUGACGGUACCUGAAGAAUAA